AUACCAUGCUGUGGAAAUAACAACGGGAUUUUGGCUACGUUAAAUCGUCACGUGAUCGCUUCAAGCGACCUCUGAUCUGAAAAAAAAAUUGAAAGCGCGCCAAAAAAAAAAAAAAAACCAGUUUUCGUGACCCUGGCCUGUUGUGCCACUCGAUUCAUCAGUCCAUCAGCUAAAUUCCGAAUGUUUCAAGAUGUACCCACGUCAAAGCUAACAAUUUCCUAGGAUUGUUUAAUAUGUCAUCAGUUAUCUUCAGAAAAGGGUCCGCACCAUAAUCCAGCAACUCUCUAACAAUGUCUUCAUGUCCCUUGUAUGACGCCCACACCAGAGGAGACCAGCCCCCCUACAAUUAUUGGUGAUGUCCAGUUAGCCACAGGAGGAUAUUAUCAGAAGAACUUGAGAGAUGAGAAGAUAGACUGUGGCUGUUGCUGUCGUCGCAAGCAUAAUGGGAAAUCCAAUUCUACAACAAAACAAAAAUAACAGUUUAUCAUGUUAGUCAGCUGCAAGAGUUGUACAUGGCCCCGCAUGGUGUUUCGGAAGAUUCUGCAUGUGUGCCUCACCUCCUAAGCAGGAACCCAUGGC